GGAGAGAUGGCUCAGCAGUUAUGAGCACUGGCUGCUCUUUCAGAGGACUUGGGUUCAAUUCCCAAUUUCCACA
rfam:Cricetulus griseus cell line CHO-K1, whole genome shotgun sequence.